CAUUAACCGGGAGAGCGCUCGCGAGCCAGAGCGAGAGGCCCCAGCGUACACGAUAAACAACCCGGUAACAGUCGCUGUUCUUUUUGCGCUUGAUCAUGACUUUUUUGGUAGAAAGUACGAUAAAUGGCAAGCGCAAAGGCGACUGCUGUCUGACUGUUCAUUACACGCCGUGCUGUUGUUGCAAGCGUGAAGUGCACGAAGUUGGUGUAGCUUAGCUUAGCUUAGCCUAGCCUCGACAAGGGACGGCGCGCGGGAGCUUGCUGAUUGGCUCUUCGGAGGUCCACUUUCUCCGCGGGCCACACUAAUAUUAUACCUUCAUAUUAAGAUGCGGGCCACAAAAUAUUGUACUGCGGCGAUGGCAGCAUGUUUUGGAGCAUUAACUUGCACUUUGAGGUAUUUUAAGUGAUAGUAUGACUAGAUAUGGGUUUUUUUUGGAGUUCUUAGCACAAAUUAUUCACACUACAGUCUUACUAUUGCGAAAAACUGCAACAAAAUAAAAAGGACACGCAUGAAGAGCUGUACAAGUGAUUCACAAGUCAGGUCAUCAGAAACCUCCAUGUGGUUUUCACCAUCUGAGGACCUGAAGGACAGAGCUGCCACCUCUCCUGCCCUCUUCAACAGGUGUGUGCUGAACUGGUUUGGAGACUGGUCCACAGAAGCUCUUUACCAGGUCAGUAAGGAGUUCACCAGCAAGAUGGACUGGAGAAACCCAAGUACAAGGUGCCAGACUACAUGGCCAUUGUCCACAACAAACUGGCCCAGCCACCGUCUAAUCCUGAUGCUGAUGUCAAAGGCUACGUACAUCAGAUACUCCAUCAGGAUCCUGGCCUGUUUGAGGGAGACGAAUAUGCUGCCCUCGUGACCGAGUGUAAAGAAGGGGGCCAGAAAGAGGGCCUGAUGCUGGACACGCAUGAAGAGCUGUACAACUGAUUCACGAGUCAGGUCAUCAGCCUGAACCCUGAGGACCUGAAGGACAGAGCUGCCACCUCUCCUGCCCUCUUCAACAGGUGUGUGCUGAACUGGUUUGGAGACUGGUCCACAGAAGCUCUUUACCAGGUCGGUAAGGAGUUCACCAGCAAGAUGGAUCUGGAGAAAGGAAGAAACCUCAGGCAGUUCCACCGGCCCCGGGUCCAGGAGGUGAUGGAAGAGUGGUAGUUGUCUGCCGACCGCCUGCAGGUGCCAACCGAUGGAUUCAAGCAGUGGGCUGCUUUGAGUAGGUGAGGGUGAAGAGGUGGAUUUUCAGUUGUUGUUUAAAGGUGUGGUUGGAUGGGGCCUCCCUGAUGUGCUGCGGUAGGGCGUUCCAACUUUUGGGUGCGUAGUGUGUGAAGGCUGCUUCUUGGGAUAGGGCCGAUCCCAUCCAGUAUCAGUAUCGGCAGCCGAGCCCAAUGUAGUUAGCGAAUCUGACCGAUCCGAUCUAACCUGCAAAAAAUUCCAAUCUGACGUCAUUUGAAGACUCCUGUUGGCUGAGGAGAGCAACACUGACAGCGAAAUAAAAACAAUGAAACGCACGCUCCUCCUGAACGCGCGAUACAGACAGACGAGGCCCCUUUUUUUAAUUAAUGCUCCAAUUAUUAAUGUAAUGUCUAACUUGUAAGAAAUGAUAUCAUGCUGAACUACAUGUUGAUUGACUGUCAAUGUAGCCAGCAAAGAAUUGAAUAAAAGCAGAUGCACUAUGUGUACAUCUGCUUGUAAGCUGUUUACGUUGCACUAAAUAAAAUUUUC